AAAGUUCCAACGGUAAAAGAUGAGCAUGCGUCCCAUUAGCUAGAUGGUAAGGUAACGGCUUACCAUGGCGACGAUGGGUAGGGGUCCUGAGAGGGAGAUCCCCCACACUGGUACUGAGACACGGACCAGACUCCUACGGGAGGCAGCAGUGAGGAAUAUUGGACAAUGGGCGCAAGCCUGAUCCAGCCAUGCCGCGUGCAGGAUGACGGUCCUAUGGAUUGUAAACUGCUUUUGUACAGGAAGAAACACUCCCUCGUGAGGGAGCUUGACGGUACUGUAAGAAUAAGGAUCGGCUAACUCCGUG
rnacentral:rRNA from 1 species